rnacentral:misc_RNA from 1 species
GGAUGAAGAACGCAGCGAAAUGCGAUAAGUAAUGUGAAUUGCAGAAUUCAGUGAAUCAUCGAAUCUUUGAACGCACAUUGCGCCCCCUGGUAUUCCGGGGGGCAUGCCUGUCCGAGCGUCAUUACAACCCUCAAGCUCAGCUUGGUGUUGGGCCCCGCCGCCCCGGCGGGCCCUAAAGUCAGUGGCGGUGCCGUCCGGCUCCGAGCGUAGUAAUUCUUCUCGCUCUGGAGGCCCGGUCGUGUGCUCGCCAGCAACCCCCAAUUUUUUUCAGGUUGACCUCGGAUCAGGUAGGGAUACCCGCUGAACUUAAGCAUAUCAAUAAGCGGAGGA